GCGGGUGUAGCUCAGUGGUAGAGCGCAACCUUGCCAAGGUUGAAGUCGUGAGUUCGAACCUCAUCACCCGCUCCA
rnacentral:tRNA from 1 species